rnacentral:rRNA from 1 species
UACGAAGGGGGCUAGCGUUGCUCGGAAUCACUGGGCGUAAAGGGUGCGUAGGCGGGUCUUUAAGUCAGGGGUGAAAUCCUGGAGCUCAACUCCAGAACUGCCUUUGAUACUGAAGAUCUUGAGUUCGGGAGAGGUGAGUGGAACUGCGAGUGUAGAGGUGAAAUUCGUAGAUAUUCGCAAGAACACCAGUGGCGAAGGCGGACUCACUGGCCCGAUACGUGACGCUGAGGCACGAA